rnacentral:lncRNA from 1 species
GCAGUGCUUUGUUGAGAAUCUUAUCUGCUCAUUAGUGACACUGACCUAUAACUUUCUCUUUGUUCUUCUCAUCUUGUCAGGUUUUGGUGUCAGGAAAUGCUGUCCUCAUAGAAUUUUCCUCCUUUCAAUUUUUUGAAAUGGUUGGAGAGUAAUUAAAGUUAGUUAAAAGUUUGGUAAACUACAACAGUGAAACUUCCCAGUCCUGGGUAUAUUAUAAUUAGAAGAAUGUUUAUUACUGAUGUUUAUUACUGUUUCCAUGUCUUAUUAGGUUGUCGGUUACUUAACCCUGCAACCUUGGGAGCAUGUUAGUCCAGGAGUGGACCAUUCCUUCUAGGUCUUCUAAUCUGUUGGCAAGCAGUUGUUUGUACACAAGAGUUCCUAAUGCAGUGGUUCUCAACCUAUGGGGCUCAUCCCCUUUGGGAGGCCGCCUAAGACCAUCUGCAUAUCAGAUAUUUACAUUAUAACUAAUAACAGCAACAUUACAGAGUAAAGUAGCAAUGAAAACAUUUUUUUUGGUUGUUGGGGGUGGUCUCCAUAACACAAGUAUUAAAGGGUCUCAGUGUUAGUAAGACUGAGAACCGCUGUCCUAAUGCUUCCUGGAGUAGUUGUUCAUGAGAGUCCCCAAUGCUGCUUGUAUUUCUCUGGGGUCCGUUAAAAUGUCUUCUUUUUGUCUCCUGUUUUAUUUGAGGCUUCCCUCUGUUUAUUUCUUUGUCUAACAAAAUGUUUAUUGACAAGAUUUUCAGUUUUCUUUUUAAAAACAGUUUUUUCUUCUUUUGGGGGGGUGUGUAUGGAUACUGUCGAGAAUGGUAGUAUGUGCCUAUAAUCCCAUAAUUUGGGAGGCUAAGGCAGGAAGAUCAAGAGUUGAGGCCAUCAGCCCAAGGUCAGUCUCAAAAUCAAACCAAAUCAAUAUCAACCCUUUUGCUUUCAUUGUUUUCCAUUUUCCCACCUGGUGCUAAAAUUCAAACACAAAGCCUAUGCUUAGCUGUGCUGUGCCCAGUGACCGAGCUUGUCUUUCUCUGGUUUGUUUCUGCAGAUCGGCACUGCACUUGACAGAUCUCUGCUUUUACUGUUUAGUUGGGUUUGGUUUUUAGGUCUGUGUUUAUAUUUUUACCAUGCUAAUGGUUUGGUCUAGACCUUGUGGGUCUUCUGGUGCUUCAUUGCUGUUCAUUUUAGCAGAUUCCUCACACUUAUAUCCUAGGCAGGCCUUGAACUCAAAGCAUUCCUCCUGCCUCAUCUCCCCUAGUGCUAGCUAGCAUUACAUACAGGUACAUCUGGGCCCCACUUCCUUGUACAGCUCCCUGAGCUUUCUCUCCACGCAGCUUUAUCCUCUCUGGACUCUGCCUGUGAACUACAGCCAUCUAACUUCCGGGAAUCUACUGCUGACACCUGGCUACACCAGACCAUAGGGCUGCUGUACCCCAGUUCCUCGUGGUGUUGGUGGACACUGCUCUAGCAGUACGUUGGCUUCCUUGGGUUCUUUGCUCAGGGUUCUAGCUCAGUGCAGCCUGUUGUCCCUCACUGAAAACUCCUUUGCAUAUUCCUUCCACUUUUCUGUUGUCCCUCACUGAAAACUCCUUUGCAUAUUCCUUCCAUUUUUCUGUUGUUUUUUGUAAAAGAUUACUACAUAGAGUAAUUAAUCUCCUAGGGCAGAAACAGGAGUGUUCCAAUGUUAGGUUCUAUACGUACAAAAUGGAGUCAGUGUUCAGAUGCUGAACACUUCUUUCCUGGAUGCCUGCAGGCAUCUCAAUGCUUACUCAUUCUUAGAUUUAAAAUCCUAAUUGUAUUCCUGAGUACCAUCACUAGUACUAUCUUUUCAUAAUCAAGACAUCCCCCUGCAAUGUUUCAGCUGAAUGGUAGAACACUUACCUAGAAAAUUUUUCCUUAAGUGGGGUGUGGUUUGGAGGCUAUGGUUUUGGAUAUGCAGAAUACUUGUUUUAUAAGCCUCUCUAUCAGCUAUGCUUUCUUUCUUCAUUAGUAUUUUAAUUGAUAAUCAUGAUUGUAUACAUUUAUGAAGUCCAUCUUGUGACCUACAGUUCCCUGUUUCUCUUUUUCUCAGUACCUAGCUUCUGGUAAUUAUCAUACUACUCCCAUCUUCUGUGAGUGUAACUUCUUAAAAUUACAACAUGCAAGUAAGAUAUUUGGCUUUCUGUGACUUAUUUUACUAAGUGUAAUAUAUUCUGGACUUGUAUUAUCAUGAAUAGUUGAAUUUUCUUUCUCUUAAAGCUGAAUGUGUUUGUUUUCAUUUCAUCUGUGUUGCUUGAUAAAAUAUACUAAUAACUAAUUUAGAGGAAAGGGUAUUUAGUUUGGCUUACAUUUUCAGGGUAUAGUCUGCCAUUGUGGGGAAGCCACAGUGACAGGAGCUUGAAGCAGUUCUUAACGUUACGUCUGUAAUUGGGAAAUGAGGAAAUGAAUGCAUGCAUGCUACUUGCUUAUUUACUUAGGUGUACUCAGCUGGACUUCUCUACUCUUAUACAGUGCGGGACCUUUUGCCUAGGGAAUGGUUCCACCCACAGUGGACUGACUGAGUCUUCCCACAUUACUUAACUUAAGACAGUCUCUAAUAGACAUGCCUAUAGGUCAAGUCAAUGUAGUCUCUCACUGAGACUCCUUCCCCGGUUUUUGUGUUAAAGAAAUAAAAGUUGACUAUUGAAGUUACCCAUCACACUCCAUUUCUUGUCAAUUUGACAUACCAAACAUCACUUUUAAGCCAUAACCUUCCACAUCUUGUCCCCAAAGUCUCAUUUUAAAUAGAAUGUAAAUGUAGCCCAACUUUAAAAGUCUAAAAUCUCUAAACUAUGGGCCCCUGAAAAAUUAAAAACAAUUUACAUACUUCCAAUAUAUGAUGACACAGGAUAGUAUUCUUAUUCCAAGAGUGAAUAAUUAGGACAUCAGGGACACAUCAG